rnacentral:rRNA from 1 species
CGCGAUAAGUAGUGUGAAUUGCAGAAUUCAGUGAAUCAUCGAAUCUUUGAACGCACAUGGCGCCCCCCGGUAUCCCGGGGGGCAUGCCUGUCCGAGCGUCGUUUCAACCCUCGGGCUCUCUGUAGCCCGGCGUUGGGGACCUACGCGCCGACGUAGACCCCUAAAAGCAGUGGCGGACCCGCGCCGGCCCCCCCUUUGCGUAGUAGCAUCAGCCUCGCAUCGGGAGCCCGCGGGACCUCCGGCCUCUAAACCCCCCCAAAGCCCGCUCCGGCGGCACCAAGGUUGACCUCGGAUCAGGUAGGAAUACCCGCUGAACUUAAGCAUAUCAAUAAGCGGAGGAAAAGAAACCAACAGGGAUUGCCUCAGUAACGGCGAGUGAAGCGGCAACAGCUCAAAUUUGAAAUCUGGCUCCCUUGGGGGUCCGAGUUGUAAUUUGCAGAGGAUGCCUCGGGUGCGGGUUCCUUCCGAGUUCCCUGGAACGGGACGCCAUAGAGGGUGAGAGCCCCGUCUGGUCGGAAACCCAGCCCGUGUGAGGCUCCCUCGACGAGUCGAGUAGUUUGGGAAUGCUGCUCUAAGGGGAGGUAUACUCCUUCCAAGGCUAAAUACCGGCUAGAGACCGAUAGCGCACAAGUAGAGUGAUCGAAAGAUGAAAAGCACUUUGAAAAGAGAGUCAAAUAGCACGUGAAAUUGCUGAAAGGGAAGCGCUUAUUACCAGACUUGGGUUCGGCGGUUCAACCGGCGCCACGCGCCGGGGCACUCCGCCGGCCCAGGCCAGCAUCAGCUUUCCGUCGGGGGCAAAGGCGUCGGGAAUGUAGCUCCCCCUCGG